GGUAAAUUGGAACUGGGACCUA
rnacentral:piRNA from 1 species